AUCGUAAAAAAAGCCAGGUAAAUCAUUUACCUGGCUUAGGGAAAAGGCUCAUUGCGAGCCGUGCGCUAAAAAGUGAUACUGAAUGAGAAAAUAGCGUGUAAAAAACUGCUUAUGCCACAUCUAUUUCACAACCUU
rnacentral:sRNA from 1 species